rnacentral:lncRNA from 1 species
UUCUCACAAGGUGAUAUGUUCCAAAUAUUUGAUUUACAAGAAGAAAUUUACAAUUUAAAAUAAGGUGAUUUAUUUGUUACCGAUUAUUUUACUCAUUGAUAGAGCAUAUUUUAGUUCAAUUUAUCAUGAUAUUCUUGAUGUCUAUUUACACCAUUUUUGCCUAAUUUUAUGGUUUUAAUCAUGUUUUGCAGAUAUCAGGUGUAAAGAGACAAUCUGGAGAAAAUGCUCUUAAAACUGUCAAAAAGUGCCAAAUAUGGAAAGUACCAAAAAAAUGAAAGUUUUCAAAUAAGGAAAGUGCAGAAACAAAAGCAAAUAAGGAAAGCUCAGUCAGAAGAUUAUUUAAAAUUCAAAUCGCAUAUAUUUCUUUCCUUGUUCAAAGAUGUGCACACACUGCAGCAGUCAUAUCUUCCUAUUUAGGCAGCAAGAUUUCAUGAAGACACACUUGCCUCUUCUGCGUUCAGCAUUCAAAAUUCAAACGAAGGCUCCACCUAAAAAGGAAAGAUUGGAUAGAUUCACUUUCCCUUCUGCAUUCAAUGACCGUGCGCCACCUUCCUUCUGCAGUCCAUUCCGCGCGCCACUUUCCAUCUGAAGAGCAAGCGCACGCCUCUUUCCUUCUGAAUAAUUUUGGAACGCGAAUAUUUCCUUUUCAAACACAACUUGGGCAGCAAGCACCUCUUGGGCAGCAAGGGCAGCAUGUACGGACCUAGGGCAACACUUUCAACUAUAAAAAGAC